rnacentral:rRNA from 1 species
GUGGGGAAUAUUGGACAAUGGGCGAAAGCCUGAUCCAGCCAUGCCGCGUGUGUGAAGAAGGUCUUCGGAUUGUAAAGCACUUUAAGUUGGGAGGAAGGGCAGUAAGUUAAUACCUUGCUGUUUUGACGUUACCAACAGAAUAAGCACCGGCUAACUUCGUGCCAGCAGCCGCGGUAAUACGAAGGGUGCAAGCGUUCAUCGGAAUUACUGGGCGUAAAUCGCGCGUAGGUGGUUCAGCAAGUUGAAGGUGAAAUCCCCGGGCUCAACCUGGGAACUGCCUCCAAAACUACUGAGCUAGAGUACGGUAGAGGGUAGUGGAAUGUCCUGUGUAGCGGUGAAAUGCGUAGAUAUAGGAAGGAACACCAGUGGCGAAGGCGACUACCUGGACUGAUACUGACACUGAGGUGCGAAAGCGUGGGGAGCAAACAGGAUUAGAAACCCGUGUAGUCC